UACGAAGGGGGCUAGCGUUGUUCGGAAUUACUGGGCGUAAAGCGUGCGCAGGCGGCUUCUCAAGUGAGGGGUGAAAGCCCAGAGCUCAACUCUGGAAUUGCCUUUGAGACUGAGUGGCUUGAGUACGAGAGAGGUGAGUGGAAUUCCCAGUGUAGAGGUGAAAUUCGUAGAUAUUGGGAAGAACACCGGUGGCGAAGGCGGCUCACUGGCUCGUAACUGACGCUCAUGCACGACAGCGUGGGGAUCAAACAGG
rnacentral:rRNA from 1 species